rnacentral:rRNA from 1 species
UACGGAGGGUGCGAGCGUUGUCCGGAAUCACUGGGCGUAAAGGGCGCGUAGGCGGCCUGAUAAGUAGGGGGUGAAAUCCUGCGGCUUAACCGCAGGGCUGCCUUCUAAACUGUCAGGCUGGAGCACGGUAGAGGCAGGUGGAAUUCCCGGUGUAGCGGUGAAAUGCGCAGAUAUCGGGAGGAAGGCCGGUGGCGAAGGCGGCGCUCUGGAACGUUUCUGACACUGAGGCUCGAAAGCGUGGGGAGCAAACAGG